rnacentral:rRNA from 1 species
CACGUAGGGACCAAGCGUUGUCCGGAUUCAUUGGGCGUAAAGAGCUCGUAGGCGGUUCGAUAAGUCGGGUGUGAAACCUCCAGGCUCAACCUGGAGACGCCACCUGAUACUGCCGUGACUUGAGUCUGGUAGGGGAGUGUGGAAUUUCCGGUGUAGCGGUGAAAUGCGCAGAUAUCGGAAGGAACACCGGUGGCGAAGGCGGCCCGCUGGGCUGUGGCUGACGCUGAGGCGCGACAGCGUGGGGAGCAAACAGG